AAAGAAUCAAGAAGGCUUCGGUCGCAAACUUCGCAGGUUUUCGUAACCCCUUUGCCAGGCCUGGGCUGCGGGCGUUCGUUCAAGAACACAACCUUUGCGCUGUUGAUAACGUAAGUUUGAACCGAACUGAUGUCCAAGUAUUUCUGAAUCUCGGAUACUCUAAUCACGUCGUGAUAUGAUGACCUCCGUAUCUGGACCUGAAUGGCGCGAUGAUCCUUGUGUUGAUUGAGACAGAGUGAACAGAGAGCACCAUUGGUGCAAUCUAAACAGUACAUAUUGCAUUCCGACUUGUGCGAAUCGGCGUGUAAUUUACAUUGAACAAAGAACUUUUCUCUAAGCAUAGGCUUCAACCACAGCGGCCACUUUUGU
rnacentral:lncRNA from 1 species